GAUGAACGCUGGCGGCGUGCCUAAUACAUGCAAGUCGAGCGAACAGACGAGGAGCUUGCUCCUCUGACGUUAGCGGCGGACGGGUGAGUAACACGUGGAUAACCUACCUAUAAGACUGGGAUAACUUCGGGAAACCGGAGCUAAUACCGGAUAAUAUAUUGAACCGCAUGGUUCAAUAGUGAAAGACGGUUUUGCUGUCACUUAUAGAUGGAUCCGCGCCGCAUUAGCUAGUUGGUAAGGUAACGGCUUACCAAGGCAACGAUGCGUAGCCGACCUGAGAGGGUGAUCGGCCACACUGGAACUGAGACACGGUCCAGACUCCUACGGGAGGCAGCAGUAGGGAAUCUUCCGCAAAGGGCGAAAGCUUGACGGAGCAACGCCGCGUGAGUGAUGAAGGUCUUCGGAUCGUAAAACUCUGUUAUUAGGGAAGAACAAAUGUGUAAGUAACUAUGCACGUCUUGACGGUACCUAAUCAGAAAGCCACAGCUAACUACGUG
rnacentral:rRNA from 1 species